rnacentral:lncRNA from 1 species
GCUUGGGAUAGCUAGUGUCGGAGUUUUCGAUGUUUUGUAUUCGGGUUGAAUACAAAGGAUAGUGGAUUAAAAUUCCCAAGUGGGAUUUUGGGGAGUGGAUGUAGGUGCAAGGUUAGCACCGAACCACUAUAAAUCCUUGUGUUUGUGGUGUGCUUUAUCGCUUUAUCUUAUUUCUUUAUUAUAUCCUUACAAUACUGCUUUA